GAUGAACGCUGGCGGCGUGCCUAAUACAUGCAAGUCGAGCGAACAGACGAGGAGCUUGCUCCUUCGACGUUAGCGGCGGACGGGUGAGUAACACGUAGGUAACCUACCUAUAAGACUGGGAUAACUUCGGGAAACCGGAGCUAAUACCGGAUAAUAUUUCGCACCGCAUGGUUCGAUAGUGAAAGAUGGCUUUGCUGUCACUUAUAGAUGGACCUGCGCCGUAUUAGCUAGUUGGUAAGGUAACGGCUUACCAAGGCAACGAUACGUAGCCGACCUGAGAGGGUGAUCGGCCACACUGGAACUGAGACACGGUCCAGACUCCUACGGGAGGCAGCAGUAGGGAAUCUUCCGCAAUGGGCGAAAGCCUGACGGAGCAACGCCGCGUGAGUGAUGAAGGUCUUCGGAUCGUAAAACUCUGUUAUUAGGGAAGAACAAACGUGUAAGUAACUGUGCACGUCUUGACGGUACCUAAUCAGAAAGCCACGGCUAACUACGUG
rnacentral:rRNA from 1 species